GGCCCCUGGCAAUGGGCAAAGAGAUACCUUGUUGGUGGUGUUGUUCUUAUAUUAGUCAGGAGCAGAGUAGAUGGCAGCUCUUUGUCAUCCUAGCUUGAUGCCUGGCUUGGCGGCAAAACUGUUUUAUACCUAGGACACAUAA